rnacentral:rRNA from 1 species
AUUGAACGCUGGCGGCAUGCCUUACACAUGCAAGUCGAACGGCAGCACGGGAGCAAUCCUGGUGGCGAGUGGCGAACGGGUGAGUAAAGUAUCGGAACGUGCCCAGUCGUGGGGGAUAACGUAGCGAAAGUUACGCUAAUACCGCAUACGAUCUAUGGAUGAAAGCGGGGGAUCGCAAGACCUCGCGCGAUUGGAGAGGCCGAUAUCAGAUUAGGGAGUUGGUGGGGUAAAGGCUCACCAAGCCGACGAUCUGUAGCUGGUCUGAGAGGACGACCAGCCACACUGGGACUGAGACACGGCCCAGACUCCUACGGGAGGCAGCAGUGGGGAAUUUUGGACAAUGGGCGAAAGCCUGAUCCAGCCAUGCCGCGUGCAGGAUGAAGGCCUUCGGGUUGUAAACUGCUUUUGUACGGAACGAAAAGGUUUGGCCUAAUAAGCUGAGCUCAUGACGGUACCGUAAGAAUAAGCACCGGCUAACUACGUGCCAGCCGCCGCAGUAA